rnacentral:rRNA from 1 species
UUAAGCAUAUCAAUAAGCGGAGGAAAAGAAACCAACCGGGAUUGCCUUAGUAACGGCGAGUGAAGCGGCAAAAGCUCAAAUUUGAAAUCUGGUACCUUCGGUGCCCGAGUUGUAAUUUGGAGAGGGCAACUUUGGGGCCGUUCCUUGUCUAUGUUCCUUGGAACAGGACGUCAUAGAGGGUGAGAAUCCCGUGUGGCGAGGAGUGCGGUUCUUUGUAAAGUGCCUUCGAAGAGUCGAGUUGUUUGGGAAUGCAGCUCUAAGUGGGUGGUAAAUUCCAUCUAAAGCUAAAUAUUGGCGAGAGACCGAUAGCGAACAAGUACAGUGAUGGAAAGAUGAAAAGAACUUUGAAAAGAGAGUGAAAAAGUACGUGAAAUUGUUGAAAGGGAAGGGCAUUUGAUCAGACAUGGUGUUUUGUGCCCUCUGCUCCUUGUGGGUAGGGGAAUCUCGCAUUUCACUGGGCCAGCAUCAGUUUUGGUGGCAGGAUAAAUCCAUAGGAAUGUAGCUUGCCUCGGUAAGUAUUAUAGCCUGUGGGAAUACUGCCAGCUGGGACUGAGGACUGCGACGUAAGUCAAGGAUGCUGGCAUAAUGGUUAUAUGCCGCCCGUCUG